UACGUAGGGGGCAAGCGUUGUCCGGAUUUAUUGGGCGUAAAGCGCGCGUAGGCGGCUCGGAAAGUCGGGCGUGAAAUGCCGGGGCUCAACCCCGGGACUGCGUCCGAUACUUCCGAGCUGGAGGUAGGUAGGGGCAACUGGAAUUCUUGGUGUAGCGGUGAAAUGCGUAGAUAUCAAGAGGAACACCUGCGGCGAAGGCGGGUUGCUGGGCCGACACUGACGCUGAGGCGCGAAAGCUAGGGGAGCGAACGGG
rnacentral:rRNA from 1 species